GACGAACGCUGGCGGCGUGCUUAACACAUGCAAGUCGAGCGAUGAAGUUUCUUCGGAAAUGGAUUAGCGGCGAACGGGUGAGGAACACGUGAAGAAUCUGCCCUCCACUUUGGGAUAACACAGGGAAACCUGUGCUAAUACCGAAUAUUGAAACAUAAGUGGCAUCACUGAGUUUUGAAAGAAUUUCGGUGGAGGAUGACUUCGCGGCCUAUCAGCUAGUUGGUGAGGUAAUGGCUCACCAAGGCAACGACGGGUAGCCGGCCUGAGAGGGCGACCGGCCACACUGGGACUGAGACACGGCCCAGACUCCUACGGGAGGCAGCAGUGGGGAAUAUUGGGCAAUGGAGGAAACUCUGACCCAGCGACGCCGCGUGAGGGAUGAAGGCCUUCGGGUUGUAAACCUCUUUUAGCAGGGAAGAAGCGAAAGUGACGGUACCUGCAGAAAAAGCACCGGCUAACUACGUGCCAGCAGCCGCCGUAA
rnacentral:rRNA from 1 species